ensembl:lncRNA
CGCGCCUCCCGGCAGCGCUCAGCUCCCCCUCCUCUUCUUGGUGCAGCGGAGCCGGGCUGUUCACUGGGAAGAGCAGAGAGCAGGAGAGGACUCGCAGACUCACACCCAAACCCACGGGGACGACCGGGUUCCGGGGAGCAGGCCCCGCCAGCAGACCUGCGCUCCGCUCCUGGGACGGGCGCGCCCGGACCUGCUCCCCUGCUGACCUGGGGGCGCGCGGCGUCCUCCUCGCACGAUGGCGCCUGAGGGACGGGGCUGGGGGCGGAGUUGGCCUGGCGUUACAACGUUGUUAGUCUCUGCUGUACAGCACAGUGAGUCAGCUGCAUGAAUACACGGAUCCCUUCUUUCCUGGAUUUCCUUCCUACUGAGCCAUGAAAUUAAAAGACGCUUACUCCUUGGAAGGAAAGUUAUGACCAACCUAGACAGCAUAUUCAAAAGCAGAGACAUUACUUUGUCAAAAAGGUCCGUCUAGUCAAGGCUAUGGUUUUUCCAUUGGUUAUGUAUGGAUGUGAGAGUUGGACUAUAAAGAGGGCUGAGUGCAGAAGAAUUGAUGCUUUUGAACUGUGGUGUUAGAGAAGACUCUUGAGAGUCCCUUGGACUGCACGGAGAUCCAACCAGGCCAUCCUAAGGGAAAUUGGUCCUGGGUGUUCAUUGGAAAGAUUGAUGUUGAAGCUGAAACUACAGUAUUUUGGCCACCUGAUGUGAAGAGCUGAAAAGACCCUGAUGUUGGGAAAGAUUGCAGGCAGGAGGAGAAGGGGACGACAGAGGAUGAGAUGGUUGGAUGGCAUCACUGACUCAAUGGACAUGAGUUUGGGUGGACUCUGGGAGUUGGUGAUGGACAGGGAGUCCUGGCAUGCUGCGAUACAUGGGGUCGCAAAGAGUUGGACACGACUGAGCAACUGAACUGAACUGAAUGAAUGUUUACCCUAAAAUACAGUUUCUACAAGAGGGGCAGAAUAAAUGGUUAAUCUUUCCUCUUAUAUACCAGUUUCCAGAGUGAUAAGUUUGCACCUUAACAAACUCCAAGUAUA